UACGUAGGGGGCAAGCGUUGUCCGGAAUCAUUGGGCGUAAAGCGCGCGUAGGUGGCCCCGUAAGUCCGCUGUGAAAGUCAAAGGCUCAACCUUUGAAAGCCGGUGGAUACUGUGGGACUAGAGUACGGAAGAGGCGAGUGGAAUUCCUGGUGUAGCGGUGGAAUGCGCAGAUAUCAGGAGGAACACCAAUGGCGAAGGCAGCUCGCUGGGACGGUACUGACGCUGAGGCGCGAAAGCGUGGGGAGCAAACAGG
rnacentral:rRNA from 1 species